UACGUAGGCAGCAAGCGUUGUUCGGAAUUACUGGGCGUAAAGGGUGCGUAGGCGGGUCUUUUAAGUCAGGGGUGAAAUCCUGGAGCUCAACUCCAGAACUGCCUUUGAUACUGAGAAUCUUGAGUUCGGGAGAGGUGAGUGGAACUGCGAGUGUAGAGGUGAAAUUCGUAGAUAUUCGGAAGAACACCAGUGGCGAAGGCGACACACUGGCCCGUUACUGACGCUGAGGCGCGAAAGCGUGGGGAGCAAACAGG
rnacentral:rRNA from 1 species